UUUAACCAUAAUCAACCUAUUAUAGUUCUAGUACAAACAUUUUCACCAACUUAAACACUUGAUACUAAUAUAGCGAUACAAACUCUAUUAUGCACUUUUAACAUACAUCACAAUAACUUACACUACAAGAAUUGCCCCCUCACACACAAGCGCAACACAUUACCCAUUCUCUUAAACGACGAGCAUCUCUUCCUCUCACGACUGCUGUUCAACCGACGACAACGACGAUUUCUCAUCUCAAGCCACGACGACGAGGAGUUCUUAUUGGUUUUCAACAACGACGGCGGCGAUUUCUCUUCUCAAACGACAAUUUCUCUUCUCAAAUGACGAUUUCUCAUCUCUGUUGUCGUCUCUCUGCUCGUCGUUGCUAUGUUCGUCAGAUUGACUUGAGGAAGUUUUAAUCCCUCACAGCAAAGGCUUCUCUUUCCAUUGGCAAAUCCUCCAUUUGCUCGAUGAAAUUGAGAUUGGAGAUUUUCAACAAGAGUCAUCAGCAUAUUGUACAGUACAAAACUGCCUAUUAUUCAUUUUGCCUUCCAGUGGCUUGUGCACUGGUUAUGGCAGGUGAAGAUCUUGAGAAACAUACUGCAGUUAAGGACAUUCUUAUUCAGAUUGAUGUUUAUUUUCAAGUUCAGAGAUGAGGCUGCUGAGGCAGGAACUACUACUGCUACAGAAAGAACUGGGACAAGAACUGAAACUACUUCCCUUGAAACCACAACUUCAAUGGAUGACUCUUCAACAUAGAUGCUACCGCUACGCUCCUUUUUAGUGGAUGCUAUUUGAUUAUGGGGGCGUAUGAAAAGAUGAAUACUAUUACUUUGACCUGCAGACGCAUUAUGGAUAUCUUACUCUAUGAAUUGAUUAAGUUUCUUCUUUGAUAGUUUUUUGGGCUUAGUCAUUAAGUGUUUGUUAUAUUUGAUUAGAUCAAACUUUAAAUCUAGUUCUUGGCUUGAUUUAUAUUUGUUGAUGUGGUUGAACUUUUGAAAGUUUGAUUUUAGUCAUUAAACUUUUUUUUCAUUUUCUUAAUUUUGGUUCGUUAAUAUUUAAAACAUCAACAUUAGUCGUCAAGUUUUUCUUUAAGAGAUCAUAUUUAGUCUCUGUUAUGGAUUUUGGUUUGCUUACUCCAUGAAAUUUCUUUUCUCAGGUGGAUGGUACAAGCUACAACUAAUCCAUCAUGUUACAUCAUCCAUAAUCUUGUGGGUCAAAUCAAGUUCAAAAUUUUGUUGUGGCUUAAUGAAAUAGAUGAGCGCUUCCAUGAUAUGGUUUUGCUUAUAUGUUCUAUUAGUUUAGCAUUGCCAAACUUGUGUUGUUGGAUACAUUCAUCACUAAAUACUUUAUUUACCUUUGUAUUAUUAAGUUUAUUAAAUUAAUGAAUACCUUACUUUGUAAUUUUAA